rnacentral:rRNA from 1 species
CCAGAGAACUUUCCAGAGAUGGAUUGGUGCCUUCGGGAACUCUGAGACAGGUGCUGCAUGGCUGUCGUCAGCUCGUGUUGUGAAAUGUUGGGUUAAGUCCCGCAACGAGCGCAACCCUUAUCCUUUGUUGCCAGCGGUCCGGCCGGGAACUCAAAGGAGACUGCCAGUGAUAAACUGGAGGAAGGUGGGGAUGACGUCAAGUCAUCAUGGCCCUUACGAGUAGGGCUACACACGUGCUACAAUGGCGCAUACAAAGAGAAGCGACCUCGCGAGAGCAAGCGGACCUCAUAAAGUGCGUCGUAGUCCGGACUGGAGUCUGCAACUCGACUCCAUGAAGUCGGAAUCGCUAGUAAUCGUAGAUCAGAAUGCUACGGUGAAUACGUUCCCGGGCCUUGUACACACCGCCCGUCACACCAUGGGAGUGGGUUGCAAAAGAAGUAGGUAGCUUAACCUUCGGGAGGGCGCUUACCACUUUGUGAUUCAUGACUGGGGUGAAGUCGUAACAAGGUAAGCGUAGUGCU